rnacentral:rRNA from 1 species
AGCCUUUGUCAGCCCUAACGGGUGUCCUCGACUCUAAAGAAUGGACUGCAAGUCACUUCAAGUGGCAACAUGAUCGAAUUGCGGGGAUCUCUUAAAGCCUGCUGGUACCUCCCUAGAUGGAAACGUCUAGGCACGGUCAUAACCCAGGGGAUGCCACAAUAGAUGAUCCGCAGCGAAGCCCCUACCGCCUUGGCCACGGGGACCGCUCACAGACUAAGUGAUUGUGGGUAGCGCACGCUACUUGAGAUAUAGUCGGCCGGCCUAGGAAACUAGACCUUCUCCCAAGCGUUCCGUAGGUGAACCUGCGGAAGGAUCAUUA